rnacentral:rRNA from 1 species
GGCACAAUACUGACGCUCAGGUGCGAAAGCGUGGGGAGCAAACAGGUUUAGAUACCCUGGUAGUCCACGCCGUAAACGAUGUCUACUAGCUGUUCGUGGUCUUGUACUGUGAGUAGCGCAGCUAACGCACUAAGUAGACCGCCUGGGGAGUACGGUCGCAAGAUUAAAACUCAAAUGAAUUGACGGGGGCCCGCACAAGCGGUGGAGCAUGUGGUUUAAUUCGACGCAACGCGAAGAACCUUACCUACUCUUGACAUCUAGCGAAGAUUGCAGAGAUGCAGUUGUGCCUUCGGGAACGCUAAGACAGGUGCUGCAUGGCUGUCGUCAGCUCGUGUUGUGAAAUGUUGGGUUAAGUCCCGCAACGAGCGCAACCCUUAUCCUUAGUUGCCAGCACGUAAUGGUGGGAACUCUAGGGAGACUGCCGGUGAUAAACCGGAGGAAGGUGGGGACGACGUCAAGUCAUCAUGGCCCUUACGAGUAGGGCUACACACGUGCUACAAUGGUACGUACAGAGGGAGGCAAGCUGGCGACAGUGAGCGGGAUCUCUUAAAGCGUAUCGUAGUCCCGGAUCGCAGUCUGCAAACUUCGACUGCGUGAAGUCGGAAUCCGCUAGUUAGUCGCAAAUC